GCCGAGCGGUAUUUGUCUUUCGGGACAGAGAGAGCGGCGUACGGGUGCGUAACMCKUGUGCAACCUACCUUUAUCUGGGAGAUAGCCUUUCGAAAGGAAGAUUAAUAUCCCAUAAUAUAUUGACUGGCAUCAGUUGAUAUUGAAAGCUCCGGCGGAUAGAGAUGGGCACGCGCAAGAUUAGAUAGUUGGUGAGGUAACGGCUCACCAAGUCUGUGAUCUUUAGGGGUCCUGAGAGGGAGAUCCCCCACACUGGUACUGAGACACGGACCAGACUCCUACGGGAGGCAGCAGUGAGGAAUAUUGGACAAUGGGUGAAAGCCUGAUCCAGCCAUCCCGCGUGAAGGAUGACGGUCCUAUGGAUUGUAAACUUCUUUUGUACAGGGAUAAACCUACCCUCGUGAGGGUAGCUGAAGGUACUGUACGAAUAAGCACCGGCUAACUCCGUGCCAGCAGCCGCGGUAAUACGGAGGGUGCAAGCGUUAUCCGGAUUUAUUGGGUUUAAAGGGUCCGUAGGCGGACCUGUAAGUCAGUGGUGAAAUCUCAUAGCUUAACUAUGAAACUGCCAUUGAUACUGCAGGUCUUGAGUA
rnacentral:rRNA from 1 species